AAAGUCGUAACAAGGUUUCCGUAGGUGAACCUGCGGAAGGAUCAUUAUUAACGUUCCAGCCGAAAGGCACGGAGCAAAUCAGCACUGACCCGCACGCCCCGUCCCCUUCGGGGGGAGGCGCGUGUUGAAGUUGCGGUUUAUGUGUCCACCCUUUGUGAAACUUCAAUCUUUGCUUCGGCAGCACCGGUUGCGGAUGACCGCUCGGGUAAGGCUGUCGGAAGCUCAAAACAGAAACUAUUAAUGAAAUGUCAUGCUGUCUGAUACCACGCAAUUUGAGAAAUCAAAUGACAUUAAAACUUUCAGCAACGGAUCUCUUGGUUCCC
rnacentral:misc_RNA from 1 species